rnacentral:rRNA from 1 species
AGAAGCAAGAUAGUGAUAUCAAGCAAAACUGAAAAAAGCGGUCUCGGUUCGGAUUGAAGGCUGAAAUUCGCCUUCAUGAAGUCGGAAUUGCUAGUAAUGGCAGGUCAGCAUACUGCCGUGAAUACGUUCCCGGGUCUUGUACACACCGCCCGUCACACCAUGGGAGUCGGAUAUGCCCGAAGCCGGUGACCUAACCGCAAGGAAGGAGCCGUCGAAGGUGGAGCCGAUGACUGGGGUGAAGUCGUAACAAGGUACC